CAAAAACCCUAAUGUUUUUCUCAAUAUAUAAACAGCUUCACAAUUCACUGUCAAAAUUAUAACCCUAAAGUACUUUCUCUUUUCUCUUGAAACUUUUUCUCUAGCCGAAUCUAGUGGUGUUCCAAGAGAAAUGUGAUGAAUAUGUUCAAGAACGCUUGUCAGAAAUUGAAUCUUCUAAUGGAGAGGAUUUGACGAAAGAAAAUCUCACCCAUAAUGAGGAAAAUGAAAUCUAUUCUAAGAUUGUAAGGAACAUCAAAACAAGGUCGUAUAUUUUGACUUGGAUCACUCCAAAGAGCUGUGCCUUUAGAGUCUUCGACGGCAGCUUGAAGCUGAUCUGCUUCAACACAAAUUAGUUUGGUUUAUGGUGCUAUUUCUGGUUUUGGUUUUUUUGGUGUUUUUCUUUUUGGUUUCUAGUUCUUUUAUUUAUGAUAAUUACUAGGAUUUAUUUUCAGUUUUCAUUGUUGUUGAAAUUAAAAUAUAUUAUGAGUAUUUCAUGUUAUGGAAUUUUUAUUUUUAAUAAUU